AUGGAACAAUCAAAAAUUAUAGAUACGACGGAGACGUAUCAGGAUGCUACAUGUAAUAUUUGCGGCUGUGAUGAGGGGGGUGAGUUUCAAGCUGUUGUGGAAUGUACAAAAAGCAGAGCAUUGAGAGAAGCCCUAAAAAAGGAAUGGGCCCUGCCCUAUGAGCAUGCUUUCCAUCAAACAGGCCCUGACUGGCUCCAGAUGUUACUCUUCCCAGAACCUGAUGAAGUUAGGGCCAGAGUUCUCAUGAUGUUGUGGAGGAGCUGGCAUCUACGUGAUGAUAUUGUGCAUGGGAAUGGCAUGGAGCCGAUCAAGAAAUCAGUCAUGUUUCUGUUGCAGUACGAGAAGGACUUGGUUAGGGAUGUUCAGACACAUAUGUCUGUGGCUGGAAAAGAUAUUUGGCCUUUGGCCAAAGAAGCACCCCAGCAGAAAGUGCACAAAUGCAGCAAAUUGACUGCUCCAUCCCGCGGCACUAUCAAAAUCAAUUCCGAGUCGCCUUCCUGCCAGACAGCGGAGAAUGUUGGGCGGGCGUUGUAG
rnacentral:rRNA from 1 species